UCAAGAAAAGUAUGACUUGCGUUCUGAGUUGGCCAAAAUUUUAGACAUGAUUGAGAAGAAUGAGCAACUUACUGAAACUCCUUCUCCUGAUCAGGUAAUUGACAUCUCUUCUCCAACAGUCGAAACUCCCAGGGUUGAUGAGCCUUUGAACUUAGAGUCAACAGCUGAAGUUAUUGAAGUUACCGUUCCAGUGACCGAGGGUAACUUACCUACAACACAAUCAUUUGGAAUGGAAAUCCCCAUGUCUACUACUUGUCUCGAGAAUGUCGAUACUUCAAUUUCAGCUGAGACUGCCUCUAUUGCUGCUCCUUUGGAAGUUUCUACCGAUCCUAAUGAGGCUGCGACUUCUAACAUUCCAAUUUCCUCAGUGACCAGUGAAAAUGUUUAACUUUACCUCUUUUGUUUGUUUUUGAUGAACCUAAUGAGGAUGCGGCUUCUAACAUUCCAAUUUCCUCGGUGACCAGUGAAAAUGUUUAACCUUACCUCUUUUGCUUGUUUUUUU
rnacentral:lncRNA from 1 species